rnacentral:rRNA from 1 species
AACGAACGCUGGCGGCGUGGAUAAGACAUGCAAGUCGAACGGGACUAAAUCUGUAGCAAUACAGGUUUAGUUUAGUGGCGAACGGGUGCGUAACACGUGGGCAAUCUGCCGAGAAGUGGGGGAUAGCUCGCCGAAAGGCGAAUUAAUACCGCAUAUGAUCAGCUAAGACAUCUUAGCGACAUCAAAGCCGGGGAUCGAAAGACCUGGCGCUUCUUGAUGAGCCCGCGGCCUAUCAGCUAGUUGGUGAGGUAACGGCUCACCAAGGCUAUGACGGGUAGCUGGUCUGAGAGGACGACCAGUCACACUGGAACUGAGACACGGUCCAGACACCUACGGGUGGCAGCAGUCGAGAAUUUUUCUCAAUGGGGCAACCCUGAAGGAGCGACGCCGCGUGGAGGAUGAAGGCUUUCGGGUUGUAACU